AGAAAAUUAAUUAACUAUUUAAUAGAAGGACUAAAUACUUAAUUAACCAAUUUGUAAAACACAACAGUUAAUCAAGAAACUAAUUAAUAAGCAACUAUCUUAUUAACUCAUAAUGAUAAGAAAAAUAGAAGCAACUUAAGAUGGGUGCAUAAUUAAUUGGUAGUGUGAUAAUAUAAUUCACAUGUCAGUAUGUAUAUAUGGUAAACUUUAGAAUAGAAAAUCUAUAUACCUGCCUAAAUAACUCAUAUGUCCGUAUAUAAAAACCUUAGAAUAGAAAAUCAAUAUAUAUACUUACAUAACAUUAAGAACGAAUAUAUAUAUAUAUAUAUAUAUAAACUCAAAAAACAGUGAGUAAAUAUAUAUAAAAACAACUUUCUAUAAGCUCAAAAAUUGAAAACUUAAACCUAUAUAUAACUAAUUGAACAUAAAUCUUAAUGACAACAUCAUAUAAAACCAAAACAACAUUUUUAAUGUUAAAAAUGAAAAGGCAAAGAGAGGGAGAAGGAAAGAACCGUCAGAGUCGGAAAGCAGAUGAACGACGAUGUAGUUAACUAAGGCUUAACGACGACGAGGAUGAAUGCAACCGCGUCAAAACUUAGUGAUGUCUCGCCGGAGCUAGGUUCAGCGAUGGUCAUCAUGCAUUCCUUGGCUGAACCGUUUUCGGAAGUGCACAUUUUUAUUGUGGUGUGCAACAGUAUUGUUCGCGUGAGGAGUGGUGUUUUUAUGGAAAUGUUUCUUUUGUUGUUAAGAGUGAAAAUGAUGAAAUAUUAUGUUGGAAUUAAUCGGAGGUUAUGGUUGUCAUGAGUAGAGUUGAGUGAAAGAGAGAUAAGAGGUUUUUGUGCUAAGUGAUGAACGGAUGAUGUUUUGGAGAAUAUAAUCUUAGUCUUUCAUGAGGAGGAAGAAGGUGUUUUUUACUGCGCUUUUCUACAUCAAGUCUCAU
rnacentral:lncRNA from 1 species